rnacentral:rRNA from 1 species
GAAAGACAGAUCGCAUGAUCAGCUUUUUAAAAGGACGCGUAAGCUGUCGCUAUGGGGAUGGCCCGCGGUGCAUUAGCUAGUUGGUAAGGUAAAGGGCUUACCAAGGCGAUGACGCAUAGCCCGAGUUGAGAGACUGAUCGGCCACAUUGGGGACUGAGACACGGCCCAAACUCCUACGGGAGGCAGCAGUAGGGAAUCUUCCACAAUGGACGCAAGUCUGAUGGAGCAAACGCCGCGUGAGUGAAGAAGGUUUUCGGAUCGUAAAGCUCUGUUGUUGGUGAAGAAGGAUAGAGGUAGUAACUGGCCCUUUAUUUGACGGUAAUCAACCAGAAAGUCACGGGCUAACUACGUGCCAGCAGCCGCGGUAAAU